CCUAUCAUUCACUCUUUGCUAUCCUCUCGAACCGCCGAGCUACUCUCUCUGAAAACCUCGAGCUAUCUCUCUCCUCGAACCCUCGAGUCCUUUCUCUCUCGAACCCUGGAGCUCUCGCCGUCCCUCUCUCGAGCCGUCUUCGCUCUCCCUGUCCCUCUCUCCAGCCCUCUUCACAGUCCAUGUCCGUCGUGCUCUGCUUCUAUGUCCUCUCUCUCUGUCGAAGUUUCCGUCGUGUUCCGGCGUUCACCAAGCAAUCUCCUUGUUCGUCGGGUGUCGUAGUUGGACGCUGAAGGAGUCUCUUCAUCUGCCGUGGUUGGAGUGUUAGGAAGCAUCGAUUGAGGCUAGUGUUUGGCGGUUUAAGAAGAUUGUCAGUGGUAUGUAGGACUGAGACAUAUACCAUUUGAUUAUGAAGGCCCUUAGUGAAGGGACCAAAGGUAGCUGCACCGAACAUGGCAUGGACCUUUCGGGUUCUCCUUCCUCCGUGCUUAGUCUCUUUUUGGGUUCUCCUUCCUCUCUAUUUGUUAAGGGAAGAGAAAAUAGCAAAGAAGAAAGGAGUUUUCGUUAGAGUUUUGAUAUGCAUCCGAGAGGCUGAGACAACAAGACAAACUUGAGGCUUAAAGCAGCAAGGAAGGGAUUAGGAAACUUAAGAGAAUCAAAGAACUUUGGAACUUUGUAUAAAUAUAUAUUUUACACUUUUAACUAUAUACUUUAAUUAUGUUAGUUAUUUGAAGUCACUCUUCUAUAUAUAUAUAUAUAUAGUUUGUGUAUUUAUUAUUAUUGUAUAUAUACAUUUUAAUAAAAACUCAGAUAUUCUGUACUAUUUUU